rnacentral:rRNA from 1 species
AGUCGAGCGAUGAAGCACCUUCGGGUGUGAAUUAGCGGCGAACGGGUGAGGAACACGUGAAGAAUCUGCCUUCAACUCUGGGAUAACUCCGGGAAACCGGGGCUAAUACCGGAUAUGAGCCUUGAUCGCAUGAUCGGGGCUGGAAAGUUUUUCGGUUGAAGAUGACUUCGCGGCCUAUCAGCUUGUUGGUGAGGUAAUGGCUCACCAAGGCGACGACGGGUAGCCGGCCUGAGAGGGCGACCGGCCACACUGGGACUGAGACACGGCCCAGACUCCUACGGGAGGCAGCAGUGGGGAAUAUUGGGCAAUGGAGGAAACUCUGACCCAGCGACGCCGCGUGAGGGAUGAAGGCCUUCGGGUUGUAAACCUCUUUCAGUAGGGAAGAAGCGAAAGUGACGGUACCUACAGAAGAAGCACCGGCUAACUAUGUGCCAGCAGCCGCGGUAAUACAUAGGGUGCAAGCGUUGUCCGGAAUUAUUGGGCGUAAAGAGCUCGUAGGUGGUUCGAUACGUCGGAUGUGAAAAUCAGGGGCUCAACCACUGACCUGCAUCCGAUACGGUCGAGCUGGAGUUUGGUAGGGGAGACUGGAAUUCCUGGUGU